UACGAAGGGGGCUAGCGUUGUUCGGAGUUACUGGGCGUAAAGGGCGCGUAGGCGGCGCACCAAGUCAGGCGUGAAAGCCCUGGGCUCAACCCGGGAAUUGCGCUUGAGACUGGUGUGCUUGAGUACGGGAGAGGAUAGUGGAAUUCCCAGUGUAGAGGUGAAAUUCGUAGAUAUUGGGAAGAACACCGGUGGCGAAGGCGGCUAUCUGGACCGUAACUGGACGCUGAGGCGCGAAAGCGUGGGGAG
rnacentral:rRNA from 1 species